rnacentral:rRNA from 1 species
AGUGAACGCUGGCGGUAGGCCUAACACAUGCAAGUCGAACGGCAGCACAGUAAGAGCUUGCUCUUACGGGUGGCGAGUGGUGGACGGGUGAGGAAUACAUCGGAAUCUACUUUUUCGUGGGGGAUAACGUAGGGAAACUUACGCUAAUACCGCAUACGACCUACGGGUGAAAGCAGGGGAUCUUCGGACCUUGCGCGAUUGAAUGAGCCGAUGUCGGAUUAGCUGGUUGGCGGGGUAAAGGCCCACCAAGGCGACGAUCCGUAGCUGGUCUGAGAGGAUGAUCAGCCACACUGGAACUGAGACACGGUCCAGACUCCUACGGGAGGCAGCAGUGGGGAAUAUUGGACAAUGGGCGCAAGCCUGAUCCAGCCAUACCGCGUGGGUGAAGAAGGCCUUCGGGUUGUAAAGCCCUUUUGUUGGGAAAGAAAAGCAGCAGGUUAAUACCCCGCUGUUCUGACGGUACCCAAAGAAUAAGCACCGGCUAACUUCGUG